rnacentral:rRNA from 1 species
UACGUAGGGUGCGAGCGUUGUCCGGAAUUAUUGGGCGUAAAGAGCUCGUAGGCGGUUUGUCACGUCUGCUGUGAAAUCCCGAGGCUCAACCUCGGGCCUGCAGUGGGUACGGGCAGACUGGAGUGCGGUAGGGGAGAAUGGAAUUCCUGGUGUAGCGGUGAAAUGCGCAGAUAUCAGGAGGAACACCGAUGGCGAAGGCAGGUCUCUGGGCCAUAACUGACGCUGAGAAGCGAAAGCAUGGGGAGCGAACAGG